AUGAUGUUGAUGCCCAAGAAGAACCGGAUUGGCAUUUAUGAACUCCUUUUUAAGGCAGGGGUGAUGGUGACCAAGAAGAAUGUCCACAUGUCCUAGCACCUGGAGCUGUCAGACAAGAACGUGCCCAAUCUGCACGUCACGAAAGCCAUGCAGUCUCUCAAAUCACGAGGCUAUGUGAAAGAACAGUUUGCCUGGAGACACUUCUACUGCCACCUCACCAACAAGGGCAUCCUCCAACCUUCUCCCUGAGAUUGUGCCUGCCACCCUGUGCCACAGCCAUCCUGAGACUGGCUGGCCAUGGCCCAAAAGAUUGGAGGGAGAGCGACCUGCAAGGCUCACACCGAGGGGAAGCUGACAGAAACACCUACAGAUGAAAUGCCUUGCCCCCUGGUGCCGACAAGAAAGCUGAGGCUGGGGCUGGGUCAGCAACUGAAUUCCAGUUUAGAGGCGGAUUUGGUCAUGGACAUGGUCAGCCACCUCAGUAAAGUUGAAAGAGAUUGUUUUGUGUUGAAUAAACCUGUAAACAGAAAAAAUUUUUUAAAUGUCUAGAUAGAGCAGAGCUGGAAAUAUACAUUUGGGAGUUGUCAGUGGGAUUUGAAGUUAUGGGGUUAGAUGAGAUCUUGUGUCAGGGGUCCCCAGGACCACCCUCAGGCUCAAUGAUUUGCUAGAAGGAUUCACAGGACCUCCAAGUUGUUAUGAUCAUUGUUAUGGCUCAUGGCAGCAAAAGGACAGAGAGUAAAAUCAGCAAAAGGAAAAGGUACAGAUGGUGAAAUCUGGAAGAAACUAUGUUCCUCAGUUUCCAGGAAGUUGACCAAGAACUAGUCCUUUGAAAUAGGCUUUUCUGGGGGGGAAUAGGUAGGGUAUGAGCAACUCAGACCUGCUGAGUUAACCUUUUCCCCUACAGAUCCCAAAGAGAGUGGAUGAAGACAGGAAAAGAGUAGGGGCUGACAAACUAAGCACUGGUCCCUCCAACAUUUAUAGUUUGAGGUGGAGGAUUCAGCAAAGGAAACGGGCUGUCCUUUUAUCCUGCUGAGAACUUCCUCCUUGCUUCCCCUGAAUAUCAGUGGAACAGAUCACACUCUCCCUCUCAUCUUUGUCUUUAAAGCAAAUGAAUUUAUAACUUCCUUGCUCUUCCGUAGAUGUUGAGCCCUCACCCAACUCAUGGACAAUAGAACCUCAGUAUGAAACUUGGGUCUCAGCCAAUCCUCAAGCAACUGAGAGAGAAAUCUCUGGGUUAGAUGGUCAUCUGUGUAGAAUGAGUUUCUGUUCCUCAGGAGUAGCUAUUCCAAAGUCUGUAAUAUUCAGGUUAGGUCAGGGAUUCAGGUGCCCUUGCAAGUAGAUAUUACCAUCUUGUUCGUUUUGAAAGAAAAAAAUGGUGAAACAGAAGACAAAGUCAGUUUUAAGUUAUAUAGUACUAGUGCUUUAAUGUCUGAAUAUCUUGAAGUGAAAAAAACAAUGAAAACAAAAAAGUGAACAGAAGAAAGGGAAGAUGAGCUAACACUCCAAAGACCCCAUCGUGAUUUUGCCUUAUUAUACUAAAUCUGUAGAUCAAUCUAUAAGAUUUGACCUCUUUACAACACAACCAUUGUAACGUGGCAUUUGUACGUCUUUUAUCUCAGUAGUUUCAAAGGCUUCUAUUAAUGUCUCUAAAUUUAUUUUACCAAAUUUAUUUGUAGGGCUGUUUUUGGCUUCUCUUCUAAAUAAAUGUGAACCCUUCUCUGUC